UACGUAGGGUGCAAGCGUUAAUCGGAAUUACUGGGCGUAAAGCGUGCGCAGGCGGUUAUGUAAGACAGGGGUGAAAUCCCAGGGCUUAACCUUGGAACUGCAUUUGUGACUGCAUAGCUAGAGUACGGUAGAGGGGGAUGGAAUUCCGCGUGUAGCAGUGAAAUGCGUAGAUAUGCGGAGGAACACCGAUGGCGAAGACAAUCCCCUGGACCUGUACUGACGCUCAUGCACGAAAGCGUGGGGAGCAAACAGG
rnacentral:rRNA from 1 species